UGAUCCUGCCAGUAGUGUAUGCUUCUCCUAAAGACUAAGCCAUGCAUGCCUUCGAAUAAGAGGAAGCAAUUCUCUCUGAAUCUGCGAACGGCUCCGCAAACCAGUUGUAAACUAUAGCAAGCAAGCUCAGGGUUGGCCUUCACGGGCCGGCUCGGGGCGAUAUGGAUAACCCUGGUAAUUCUGAGGCUAAUACAUGAGUGUAAACCCUGGAGGACCGGCUUCGGCUGGGAAUCUGGGGGAUGUGCGAUUGCAGGCUUGGUAACACCGGGAAAGGGCGCACGUUCAGAUCACGCUAAAAAGGUCGGGCUCCUUCGGGGGCCUGCCCCAGUGACUCUUGCUGUGUGCUUCUGACCUAUCAACUAGACGGCAGCGUAAGGGACAUGCUAUGGUGACAACGGGUACAGAGGAUUAGGGUUCGAUCCUGGAGAGUGGGCCUGAGAGAUUGCUCAUACUUCUAAGGAAGGCAGCAGGCGCGCAACGUUCCCCUUGGGCAAUGCCCGAGGGCGUUAGGGGACAUAUGAAUGCCUGCCCAUUGGGUGGGCAAUUCAAAUGGGUCUGUUGUAAACAGGCUCUCGAGUAACAAUUAGAGGACAAGUCUGGUGCCAGCACCCGCGGUAAUUCCAGCUCUAAUAGCAUACGUUAAAGUUGUUGCGGUUAAAACGCUCGUAGUCGGCUACAGAUCGUCAGAAGCCUGAACAGGGAGCCUGGGUCCGCUGCCUUUCGGGGCGCGCCGGGUGACUAGUGAGGGUGGGCGGCGGUCAAGCGUGCCUCAGGCUGUAUCUUCGGAUCCACAGGGCUGGGGGGGGUGUGGUCUCUCAUUGGGUCGGGUCCCUUUCGGUUCGGCUUGGGGUACCACUUACCAUGAUCAAACUGGGGUGAUCAAAGCAGGUCUUUCGACCUUGCACAGCGCAGCAUGGCAUAACCCAAGCUGGUCGGGCCCUUCAAGCGGGGUCAGGCUGGCAGUAGCAAAAGGGGUGUUCGAGGGUGACCGAAUUGCCGGGCGAGUGGUGAAAUACGUUGACCCUGGCAAGUCGACCAAAGGCGAAAGCAGUCAUCAAGGGCACGCCCGUUGAUCAAGAGCGAAAGUUAAGGGUUCGAAGACGAUCAGAUACCGUCGUAGUCUUAACUAUAAAUGAUACUGGCCAGGGAUGGGAUAAUGUCCAUCUCGACUCUUCCUGGACCUUGGAGAAAUCAGAGUCUUUGAGUUCUGGGGGGAGUAUGGUCGCAAGGCUGAAACUUAAAGGAAUUGACGGAAGGGCACACAAAGAGUGGAACCUGCGGCUUAAUUUGACUCAACACGGGAAAACUCACCAGGUCCGGAUACACGUAUGAAAGACAAGCUGAAAGACUUUUCUCAAUGAUGUAAGUGGUGGUGCAUGGUCGUUCUUAGUUCGUGGAGUGGUUUGUCUGGUCUAUUCCGAUAACGAGCGAGACCCCGGCGUUCCUAAUAGGGGCAGCAGCCCGGCUUGCCUGCCUUCACGGGUGGGCUCGCUAGCAGCUGCCUCAAAUUAUGCUUCUUAGACGUAUCAGAGCCGAUAAGGUUCUUGAAAUGGGUUAAUAACAGGUCAGUCAUGCCCUUAGAUGUUCUGGGCCGCACGCGCGUUACAAUGGCAUGCUUAGAGAGUGCUCAAAAGGGCGUAUCCGCGGCCUACAGGCCGCGGUAACCCCUAGUCCCUGCCUUGACUGGGACAGACUAUUGCAAUUAUUGGUCUCGAACGAGGAAUUUUUAGUAGUCGCAGGUCAUUAACCUGCGACGAAUGCGUCCCUGCCCUUUGUACACACCGCCCGUCGCUGCUACCGAUUGGGUUUUGCGGUUACGCGUUCGGAGGCCGUGGCUACCGUCUGCCCUCGGGUAGGUGGGCACCGUGGCUGAAGUCCUAAUUACCGCACGGCCUAGAGGAAGCAGAAGUCGUAACAAGGUAAUCGUAGGUGAACCUGCAGAAGGAUCAAUC
rnacentral:rRNA from 1 species